GUUUUAGAGGUUCUACUGAAGGGAUUUGUAAUUGCUUAUACUUACAACAAGCAAUGCUGAACUAUGUCCCUUUACUUUAAAUAAAGUUGUUAUGGUGCACUCUUACCUCAAGGGGUUAAACCAUUCUCAAAUGGUUUAACCCCAAAAUGCCUCCAGGGAUUGUGUCCACUUUCCCUAGGCAGCAUUCGGCUUUAGCAAUUUUAGAUUUAGGAAUCACAGAGUGGCCCUGGAUGCAAUAUUGGGGUUAAACCAUUUGAGAAUGGUUUAACCCCAAUAACAACUUAAUUUAAUCUGAAUACGGAGAACAAGCAAAAAUUAGCUUGCACUUCAGUAAG